CUCUCUCUCCUGGCUCCAUCUAGUGGACUGAUAGUAGAACUACAGCAGCUGAUGAUGUACUCAGUGAUGUGAAAGAGACAAGAAGAGCCAAUGACAUGUAGUGUUAUGUUUCCUCUGCAGAUAAAAGGCUGAGUUCAUCAGCAUGGAUCAGUGUGAGGACAGAGGAACCACUCUGAGUGGGGAACAGGACAGAGGAACCACUCUGAGUGGGGAACAGGACAGAGGAACCACUCUGAGUGGGGAACAGGACAGAGGAACCACUCUGAGUGGAGAACAGGACAGAGGAACCACUCUGAGUGGGGAAUCUUUCAGUCAGUAACGGAGCAUCGACAGCAGUCCAAAUGUCAUUUUGUUGUGAAAAUCUGCUCCUGUUGCAGCCCUUCCUGCCUGCUUCCUGACAGGUGGAGCUGUGACUCAUUCCAGGGAACAGCUCACCUGUGUCAGAGAUUUCUCUCCAGGUGGAGAGUGACCAUCUUCUUCAUCAACUCUUUGGGCUGUUUGAAGAAACUAAAGUGUGGACGACUCUUGUAUUAUAGAUAAAUCAACAUGUUGGUGAUUGUCUGUCACAACCGUGAGACUGCUCUAAAUGAAGGCUGAGUUUGAAGAUGGGUGGGGUCCGAGCCUUUCUCCUGCUGUCAGAAAACACACCGUCGUCUCCACCAGCGUAAAGUCAGACACAACAGGACUCUACUGUUUCCUCUGGAACCUUUCAGAAUAAAAUGUAGUGACCUAA